rnacentral:rRNA from 1 species
ACGAACGUUGGCGGCGUGGAUUAGGCAUGCAAGUCGAACGAAGUUCAGUCGUGUAGCAAUACUCGGCUGGACUGAGUGGCGAAAGGGGCAGUAAUGCAUGGGUAACCUACCCCCGGGUCGUGAAUAGCCUUCCUAACGGAAGGGUAAUACACGGCGACACAACGAGGUGGCCUCACUUUGUUGUCAAAGAUUUAUCGCCCGGGGAGGGGGCUCAUGUCGUAUCAAGCUAGUUGGUGGGGUAACGGCCCACCAAGGCGAAAAACGCGUAGCGGGUGUGAGAGCACGACCCCGCGCCACUGGCACUGAGACACUGGCCAGACUCCUACGGGAGGCUGCAGUCGAGGAUCUUCGGCAAUGGGGCGCAAGCCUGACCGAGCGACGCCGCGUGUGCGAUGAAGGCCUUCGGGUUGUAAAGCACUGUCGAGGGGGGAGGAAGCCGCCAAGGUUGACCUAUCCCUGGAGGAAGCACGGGCUAAGUUCGUGCCAGCAGCCGCGGUAAGACGAACCGUGCAAACGUUGUUCGGAAUCACUGGGCUUAAAGGGCGCGUAGGCGGGCCGCCAAGUCCGGGGUGAAAGCCUCCAGCUCAACUGGAGAAGUGCCUCGGAUACUGGCGAUCUCGAGGAUGGUAGGGGCAUCUGGAACAGCCGGUGGAGCGGUGAAAUGCGUUGAUAUCGGCUGGAACUCCGAUGGCGAAGGCAAGGUGCUGGACCAUUUCUGACGCUGAGGCGCGAAAGCCAGGGGAGCGAACGGGAUUAGAUACCCCGGUAGUCCUGGCCCUAAACGAUGAGAACUAGAUAGUAGACUUGCAUGGGUUUACUGUCGGAGCAAAAGUGCUAAGUUCUCCGCCUGGGGAGUAUGGUCGCAAGGCUGAAACUCAAAGGAAUUGACGGGGGCUCACACAAGCGGUGGAGCAUGUGGCUUAAUUCGAGGCUACGCGAAGAACCUUAUCCUGGACUUGACAUGUCCGAAAGGGGCAGGAAGUAGCGGGCGGAAAACGCUUUGCCAACGGUAUCCAGUCCGGAACUUGCCACAGGUGCUGCAUGGCUGUCGUCAGCUCGUGUCGUGAGAUGUCGCGUUAAGUCGCAUAGCGAGCGAAAACCCUUGUCUCCAGUUGCCAGCGGGUCAUGCCGGGGACUCUGGAGAGACUGCCGGUGUUAAACCGGAGGAAGGUGGGGAUGACGUCAAGUCCUCAUGGCCUUUAUGUCCAGGGCUGCACACGUGCUACAAUGCUGUGAACAAAGGGACGCAAAACGCGCGAGCGGAAGCAAAUCCCAAAAAAACACAGCCCAGUUCAGAUCGAAGGCUGCAAACUCGCCUUCGUGAAGUUGGAAUCGCUAGUAAUCGCAGGUCAGCAACACUGCGGUGAAUGUGUUCCUGAGCCUUGUACACACCGCCCGUCAAGCCACGAAAGGGAGGGGCGUCCGAAGUCGCUGUUAAAUGUGCCGAAGACGAAACUCCUGAUUGGGACU